rnacentral:rRNA from 1 species
UACGUAGGGUCCGAGCGUUGUCCGGAAUUAUUGGGCGUAAAGGGCUCGUAGGCGGUCUGUUGCGUCGGCUGUGAAAACCCGGGGCUCAACUCCGGGCCUGCAGCCGAUACGGGCAGACUAGAGUUCGGCAGGGGAGACUGGAAUUCCUGGUGUAGCGGUGAAAUGCGCAGAUAUCAGGAGGAACACCGGUGGCGAAGGCGGGUCUCUGGGCCGAUACUGACGCUGAGGAGCGAAAGCGUGGGGAGCGAACAGG